UAUCCUUAGUGAUGUGGUUGUUUCAAUCGUAAUCUAUUGAUUGUCAGGGCAAUAUGUUAUUGCCCUUUUUUAUU
rnacentral:sRNA from 1 species